AGCCGCUGUAUGUUGAUGUGCAUGUGGGAGAAUGACGCCGUGUUGUUGUGCGUAACAAGUGUCUGCUGGGCACUGUUACCGUAGCAGUGAGGGGAGUUGUUCUCAGGAAGCCAUCAGCUACAGUGUUCGUAGCCUUGUUGAAAAGUGAUAGACCCUCGCAGCU